UCAAGUGAAUAAGUGCAUGUGGUGGAUGCCUUGGCGAUUACAGGCGAUGAAGGACGUUGUAGCCUGCGAAAAGCCGCGGGGAGCUGGCAAACAAGCUUUGAUCCGCGGAUGUCCGAAUGGGGAAACCCACCCGCAAGGGUAUCGCUGACUGAAUCCAUAGGUCAGCGAGGCGAACGUGGCGAACUGAAACAUCUAAGUAGCCACAGGAAAAGAAAUCAACCGAGAUUCCGAAAGUAGUGGCGAGCGAAAUCGGAGCAGCCUGUGCGUGAUAGUCGAUUGGCUAGUGGAACGGUAUGGAAAGGCCGGCCAUAGAGGGUGAUAGCCCCUUACACGAAAGCGAAUCGGUGGUACUGAGCGUACGACAAGUAGGGCGGGACACGUGUAAUCCUGUCUGAAGAUGGGGGGACCAUCCUCCAAGGCUAAAUACUCGUAAUCGACCGAUAGUGAACAAGUACUGUGAAGGAAAGGCGAAAAGAACCCCGGGAGGGGAGUGAAAUAGAUCCUGAAACCGCAUGCAUACAAACAGUCGGAGCCUCUUAAUGGGGUGACUGCGUACCUUUUGUAUAAUGGGUCAGCGACUUACGUUCAGUGGCAAGCUUAACCAGAUAGGGGAGGCGCAGGGAAACCGAGUCCGAAUAGGGCGCCAUAGUCGCUGGGCGUAGACCCGAAACCAGGUGAUCUAUCCAUGGUCAGGAUGAAGGUUGGGUAACACCAGCUGGAGGUCCGAACCGACUAAUGUUGCAAAAUUAGCGGAUGAACUGUGGAUAGGGGUGAAAGGCUAAUCAAACCUGGAAAUAGCUGGUUCUCCCCGAAAACUAUUUAGGUAGUGCGUCAUGUAUUGCUCCAGGGGGUAGAGCACUGUAAUGGUUGUGGGGGCCAUCGCGGCUUACCACGCCAUAGCAAACUCCGAAUACCUGGAAGUAUGAGCAUGGCAGACAGUCGCCGGGUGCUAACGUCCGGCGGCAAGAGGGAAACAACCCAGACCUACAGCUAAGGUCCCAAAGUGUGGCUAAGUGGGAAACGAAGUGGGAAGGCUAAAACAGUCAGGAUGUUGGCUUAGAAGCAGCCAUCAUUUAAAGAAAGCGUAAUAGCUCACUGAUCGAGUCGUCCUGCGCGGAAGAUGUAACGGGGCUAAGCCAUGCACCGAAGCUUAGGCUGCACUCUUUGAGUGCGGGGUAGGGGAGCGUUCUGUAAGCCUGUGAAGGUGUCUCGUAAGGGAUGCUGGAGGUAUCAGAAGUGCGAAUGCUGACAUGAGUAGCGUUAAAGCGGGUGAAAAGCCCGCUCGCCGUAAGCGCAAGGUUUCCUACGCAACGUUCAUCGGCGUAGGGUGAGUCGGCCCCUAAGGUGAGGGCGAAAGCCAUAGCUGAUGGGAAGCUGGUUAAUAUUCCAGCACCGAUUUCUAGUGCGAUGGGGGGACGGAUCGUGGAAGGUUGUCCGGGUGUUGGAAGUCCCGGUUCCUGACCUGUAGGUGUCUGGUAGGUAAAUCCGCCAGGCGUAUGCCGAGGGGUUGGGACGAGCGAGCUUGCUCGCGAAGCAACUGGAAGUGGUUCCAAGAAAAGCCUCUAAGCUUCAGCUAGAAACGACCGUACCGCAAACCAACACUGGUGCGCGAGAUGAGUAUUCUCAGGCGCUUGAGAGAACUCGGGAGAAGGAACUCGGCAAAUUGACACCGUAACUUCGGAAGAAGGUGUGCCUUGGUAGCUUGAGUGUGAACAACACAAGGGCAAAGAGGUUGCAAAGAAUAGGUGGCUGCGACUGUUUAUUAAAAACACAGCACUCUGCAAACACGAAAGUGGACGUAUAGGGUGUGACGCCUGCCCGGUGCCGGAAGGUUAAGUGAUGGGGUGCAAGCUCUUGAUCGAAGCCCCGGUAAACGGCGGCCGUAACUAUAACGGUCCUAAGGUAGCGAAAUUCCUUGUCGGGU
rnacentral:rRNA from 1 species